GACGAACGCUGGCGGCGUGCCUAAUACAUGCAAGUUGAGCGAUGAAGAUUGGUGCUUGCACCAAUUUGAAGAGCAGCGAACGGGUGAGUAACGCGUGGGGAAUCUGCCUUUGAGCGGGGGACAACAUUUGGAAACGAAUGCUAAUACCGCAUAAUAACUUUAAACAUAAGUUUUAAGUUUGAAAGAUGCAAUUGCAUCACUCAAAGAUGAUCCCGCGUUGUAUUAGCUAGUUGGUGAGGUAAAGGCUCACCAAGGCGAUGAUACAUAGCCGACCUGAGAGGGUGAUCGGCCACAUUGGGACUGAGACACGGCCCAAACUCCUACGGGAGGCAGCAGUAGGGAAUCUUCGGCAAUGGACGAAAGUCUGACCGAGCAACGCCGCGUGGGUGAAGAAGGUUGUCGGAUCGUAAAACUCUGUUGGUAGAGAAGAACGUUGGUGAGAGUGGAAAGCUCAUCAAGUGACGGUAACUACCCAGAAAGGGACGGCUAACUACGUG
rnacentral:rRNA from 1 species